GAUUAUGUAUAUGACACUACCAUUUACUGGAACACAUGCUUUGAAAAUCAAGAAAAAUAUAAAGAACUUCCUUUGUAAUAUUUACCUACAAGUUGAACUACGUGUGGUACUUAAACCAGUAUACAGAAUAAGGAACUAUUUUGUAUUCAAAGACAGAGGGGACCGAUCAUAUCUAAUCUACAGAUAUCAGUGCUCUGUUUGUAAUGGUGUGUGUGUAGGGUCGACUGUGAGGAGGCUUAGUGAUUGAGUUAAAGAAUAUAGUAUGCCAAGGUAUGAAAAAUUGUCAAAUAUUUUCCAACAUGAAGAAUGCGUGAAUGCAAGUGUUAAAUUUAACAAUGCCAAAUUAUUGGAAAGGCUGAAAAUGAGCGAUGGCUACGGUUAAAAGAAACAUUAGCCAUAAAGAACUUAGCACCUGAACUGAACAGGAAAUCCAGCACAGGAUUGGUCAAAUCUACCAAACCUCUACAGAGAUUCAUUAGUCAAAAGCAUUGUGUAAGAAGACCAUGAAACGUUUCUUCACAAAGAAGAAGGAAAGUGGUGCUGAAGGACGGAAGAGACGAAAGUUGGAGGCAGAGAAAGCCAAAAAGUCGAGCAAGUUGUUCAUGCCCUUCUUUGAAAAGCCCGGUACAAGUAGUUCUACACGUUCCAUGGAGUCGCCUGCACCAGCUACAAGUUCGUUAGAAUCCGAAGGUGGAUCAAGUACAAAUGCGUCACAAGCGAGGAGAAAGUCAAGUCAUAUAAAUCCGAAUAUAACGAGAUUAAGAAUGAGGCUGCCAGAGAGAACAUGGACAUGACAGGAGGGGAAGAAAAUGGUGGUGGUGAUGUUGAAUUUAUUGACGAAAUUGAACCUGACAACACUGAACCUAGUGUAACAGGUUAGCGCUCAGAUGACAUUUUAAAGAAACAGUCUGGGAAUGACUUCUAUGAAUAGAUGAAACUAGGAUGGCUAGAAAGAAGCUUUCUCUUCCCUCUUCCCACAGCCAUUUCACAAUUGUGACCUCCCCCUUCCAACUAAUACUAUGGCACCUGUAGGUUUUAUAUAUUCUAUAUAGGAAGGUUACAGACGAAGUUUACAACAAACUUCUCUGACUCUUCGGAAGAUAAGUCUGGACUCCACAGCUGUAAAUAUAGCAUGAGUUCCUCAUGGUGUUUGAAAGAGAACUGAUACUUGCAAGUGUGUGUUUCUCAUGGUGUUUGAUGAAAGAGAACUGAUACUGAUGCUUGCAAGCGUGAGUUCCUCGUGGUGUUUGAUGAAAGAGAACUGAUACUGAUGCUUACAAGCGUGAGUUCCUUACAGUGUUUGAAAGAAAACUGAUACUUGCAAAUGUGAGUUUCUCAUGGUGUUUGAUGAAGAACUGGUACUAAUGCUUGGAGACAGAAGAGCUUAUCGAAAAUGCACAAAAGAUUAAAUACAUGUAUUUCAGUGUCAUUCUUAUUGAUUAUACAUUAGUAAGUAUCUCACAAACAUUUCCAAUAAUGUUGAACAGUAAAAUUGUUUUUUAACUUGCA
rnacentral:lncRNA from 1 species